AUCCCAUGAUGAGGACAGGCGGUGACAUACUCCUGCAGACGCUCCCACACCUCGGGGAUGGACUCAUCCCUCGUCUGUUGGAAGCUUGAAAUUCCCCCACGAAGGGC
rfam:Leersia perrieri chromosome 12, whole genome shotgun sequence.